CCUGGCUCAGGAUGAACGCUAGCUACAGGCUUAACACAUGCAAGUCGAGCGGCAGGAUGGUCUUAGCUUGCUAAGGCCGAUGGCGACCGGCGCACGGGUGAGUAACACGUAUCCAACCUGCCGUCUACUCUUGGACAGCCUUCUGAAAGGAAGAUUAAUACAAGAUGGCAUCAUGAGUCCGCAUGUUCACAUGAUUAAAGGUAUUCCGGUAGACGAUGGGGAUGCGUUCCAUUAGAUAGUAGGCGGGGUAACGGCCCACCUAGUCUUCGAUGGAUAGGGGUUCUGAGAGGAAGGUCCCCCACAUUGGAACUGAGACACGGUCCAAACUCCUACGGGAGGCAGCAGUGAGGAAUAUUGGUCAAUGGGCGAGAGCCUGAACCAGCCAAGUAGCGUGAAGGAUGACUGCCCUAUGGGUUGUAAACUUCUUUUAUAAAGGAAUAAAGUCGGGUAUGGAUACCCGUUUGCAUGUACUUUAUGAAUAAGGAUCGGCUAACUCCGUGCCAGCAGCCGCGGUAAUACCGAGGAUCCGAGCGUUAUCCGGAUUUAUUGCGUUUAAAGGGAGCGUAGAUGGAUGUUUAAGUCAGUUGUGAAAGUUGCGGGCUCAACCGUAAAAUUGCAGUGNAUACUGGAUAUCUGNAGUGCAGUUGAGGCAGGCGGAAUUCGUGGUGUAGCGGUGAAAUGCUUAGAUAUCACGAAGAACUCCGAUUGCGAAGGCAGCCUGCUAAGCUGCAACUGACAUUGAGGCUCGAAAGUGUGGGUAUCAAACAGGAUUAGAUACCCUGGUAGUCCACACGGUAAACGAUGAAUACUCGCUGUUUGCGAUAUACUGCAAGCGGCCAAGCGAAAGCGUUAAGUAUUCCACCUGGGGAGUACGCCGGCAACGGUGAAACUCAAAGGAAUUGACGGGGGCCCGCACAAGCGGAGGAACAUGUGGUUUAAUUCGAUGAUACGCGAGGAACCUUACCCGGGCUUAAAUUGCAGAUGAAUUACGGUGAAAGCCGUAAGCCGCAAGGCAUCUGUGAAGGUGCUGCAUGGUUGUCGUCAGCUCGUGCCGUGAGGUGUCGGCUUAAGUGCCAUAACGAGCGCAACCCUUGUUGUCAGUUACUAACAGGUUCCGCUGAGGACUCUGACAAGACUGCCAUCGUAAGAUGUGAGGAAGGUGGGGAUGACGUCAAAUCAGCACGGCCCUUACGUCCGGGGCUACACACGUGUUACAAUGGGGGGUACAGAGGGCCGCUACCACGCGAGUGGAUGCCAAUCCCCAAAACCUCUCUCAGUUCGGACUGGAGUCUGCAACCCGACUCCACGAAGCUGGAUUCGCUAGUAAUCGCGCAUCAGCCACGGCGCGGUGAAUACGUUCCCGGGCCUUGUACACACCGCCC
rnacentral:rRNA from 1 species